rnacentral:rRNA from 1 species
CCCUUAGAGUUUGAUCCUGGCUCAGGACGAACGCUGGCGGCGCGCCUAACACAUGCAAGUCGAACGAGCGAGAGAGAGCUUGCUUUCUCGAGCGAGUGGCGAACGGGUGAGUAACGCGUGAGGAACCUGCCUCAAAGAGGGGGACAACAGUUGGAAACGACUGCUAAUACCGCAUAAGCCCACAGCUCGGCAUCGAGCAGAGGGAAAAGGAGCAAUCCGCUUUGAGAUGGCCUCGCGUCCGAUUAGCUAGUUGGUGAGGUAAUGGCCCACCAAGGCAACGAUCGGUAGCCGGACUGAGAGGUUGAACGGCCACAUUGGGACUGAGACACGGCCCAGACUCCUACGGGAGGCAGCAGUGGGGAAUAUUGCACAAUGGGGGAAACCCUGAUGCAGCGACGCCGCGUGGAGGAAGAAGGUCUUCGGAUUGUAAACUCCUGUUGUUGAGGAAGAUAAUGACGGUACUCAACAAGGAAGUGACGGCUAACUACGUGCCAGCAGCCGCGGUAAAACGUAGGUCACAAGCGUUGUCCGGAAUUACUGGGUGUAAAGGGAGCGCAGGCGGGAAGACAAGUUGGAAGUGAAAUCUAUGGGCUCAACCCAUAAACUGCUUUCAAAACUGUUUUUCUUGAGUAGUGCAGAGGUAGGCGGAAUUCCCGGUGUAGCGGUGGAAUGCGUAGAUAUCGGGAGGAACACCAGUGGCGAAGGCGGCCUACUGGGCACCAACUGACGCUGAGGCUCGAAAGUGUGGGUAGCAAACAGGAUUAGAUACCCUGGUAGUCCACACCGUAAACGAUGAUUACUAGGUGUUGGAGGAUUGACCCCUUCAGUGCCGCAGUUAACACAAUAAGUAAUCCACCUGGGGAGUACGACCGCAAGGUUGA